AGUGGAAUAGCUGGGUCGAAUGCUCGUUCCAUUCCAUGUUUUCUGAGGAGUCUUCAUACUUCUUUCCAGAGUGAUUGCAACAAUUUGCAGUCCCACCAGCAAU
rnacentral:pre_miRNA from 1 species